rnacentral:lncRNA from 1 species
UGUGAGCAGUCGGGAAGGCACACACAGUGGGAGCCAGUAAGGGCCCCUGUGCAUCUGCAGGAGCUGAGGACAGAAGGGGUGGGCCUCCACGGUGGGCAUGUAGGAGUGGGCACAGAGAAGGGCCACAGAUCUGAGACAGAGACAGACAGGACUUCUUACCCUGCUGAGCCCUGCAGGGAGCCACUUCGUCUUUCAGCCCUGAUUUUGUCAUCUGUAAGGAAAUUUCCUCUCUCCCAGGGUAAUCAUGUGAAGCCAAUGAAAUAAUAAAAAGGACCACAUCGGAUGACCCCUGAGGCAGGUCUGCUCCCCAAAAGUUUACUCUUGAAUGUUGACCAAGGUUGAGCUAGGCAAAGUGGUAAAUUCACACACACGGUAUGUAGCCCCUUCCCCAACCCCAGUCUCCAUUACCGGGGGCAUGCUGUGAACUAACUGCCUCCUUUUCCCCACACACCCACUUCCUGCCCAGUCUUUAUGCCUCCCGAUAUGACAUCCCGUUCCCUCUUAAUUAACUGUGCCUAUAGAGAAACAUCUAGAUAAACCAUGCAUUUAAUCUGUGAGGGGUCAAUCAUUUAAUCAUCGUUGACAAUAAUGCUCACUCCUCUGUGGUUUCAGAGGACUCCUGGAGUGGAUGGAGACACAUGCCACUAAUGUGGGAUGCAUUUCAGUCUGUCUUCCAGGCCUCGUUUGGAGGUCUCCCUCUCUUACCCACCUAUCACACAUCCAUGUCUUCCCUUCCCUCCCCAGAGCCAAACCUGUCCCCGACUUUUUAUUCUCACUAAAGUUCAAAUGACAGAAAUCAGCUAGAUUAGUACUUGCCUUAGUCCUGAAGGAAAGGGAAGUGCUCAUUAGCUUCUUAAAUUGGAACAGGUCUGCAGGUGAAAAUGAAGAUGUGCUCAUCUCUGGCAGGAAGGUUGGGAGUGAGGGGUAUAGUCAUAAUGAGCAGCGUUUAUUUGGUGUGUGCCUCUCACUUGCCACUUUCUACCCAGCUGCCUGAAUAUCACUCCAGUUAGUCUGAGCACAUGAAACACCUGCAACUCCCCAGACCCACCAUGCUUUUUCUUGACUCUCUGAAUGCACAGCAGUGCCUCCUCAGCUAAGAACACAGUUCCCCAUCACCAAGCUUUGCUUUGCCCAACAGACCCCUUCUCCCUUAGGAUGAGAUUCAGUGGAUAAUCACAUCAUAAUCACGACCCUCUGGGAAGCCGCCUCUCUCAUCCUGGGUUGUGUGUUGUGUGUUUCCUUUCCACACUCCCUCAGCAGCCUUUGCCUCCCACUUUCAUAGAAUCUACCAUAUGGGAUUUUAACUGUUUGUCUUCCACUAGACAAUAAGCUCCUUGAAGACUGAAUUUCCAGGAACUUCUGUUGGAUCUGCAUGUUUGUGAAGUGAAUUACUGAAGGCUGCCCAGUUUCAUCUGAUCCUAGUCAAAACCUAAAUCCCUUAUUUCUACGCUACCUUUUGCCAGCACCUGAAAAUGAUGCCAGGUUUCUGGAAUCCACGGCAGC